rnacentral:miRNA from 1 species
ACCGACCGUUGACUGUACCUUG